AUUCCAAAAUCUUCAAAGUCAACAUCCAUAGCAUCUAACAUGCCUAUGUUCAAAAAGCAUGCCUUCCCUAAAACAAUAACUAGAAUCGAUUCAUUGCAGUGACACGCAUGUAACACUAACUUUUGUCGUUUAGAGGACAUAAAUUGUCAUAACUAAAUUAAAUAAAAGAUCAAUACCUUUGACACCAACGAAAUCACCUUGUUCUCUAUGGCUCAAAUCAACUGUGGCAAUCAGUGCGCUUCAAAUGCAAUAUAUUGCUAGUUGAAUGGAUGAAAAUGGGUUUAAUAAUAAUAAUAAUAAUAA
rnacentral:misc_RNA from 1 species